CGUAAGGCCCCCCGCCACCCUCGCGGCGACCCCAGCGACUUCAGGAGUCCGUUAGUCCGGGUUUUCGCGGCAGUCCGGUGGCCGCUGUGACUGAGCCAGUCGGGGCCUCGCGGGCAGCCAGGCGGGGACCGGCGGAGGGGAAGAUGAGGCGGAGUUUCGUAGGGGUGGGCGGAGGCAGCACGCCGCGAGCGGACCGCGUCCUCAUGGCUUGUGGCCGGUUGCGGCAGCCCCUCGGCGGCGGGCGAAGCCGUCUCCACAAACGCUGCCCUGCGUCUGAAGAACCCAGCCGGACGCAGCUAACGCAGUUGCACCUAGAAUUCAUUUUUAACUUUUUAUUGUCCACAGAAAACACUGAAAAAUGUACAUACAAGUAUACAACUGGCAGGACAGGAAAGAAAGCCGAAACAAAAAGAAAAGAAAAAGGUCCACAAGGAUAACUUUUGGAGCCAAGAUUGUGCGUUUCUAACACAGUCGCAGGUGGUGCUGGUAUUGCUGCUCUGAGGACCACAUGUUUAGUAGCGGGGUCCUAGGCCUGUGACUUUACAGACACGAGGAAAAUAAGGCAGAGGCUGAAGCCAAAUAGGAUGGGUGACCAGGUUGGUGAACCCAUGUCCGAGUCCCCUGUGGAUGGAAGAGUUACAGAAAAGUUAUCGCUGACACUUGUUAACGGCAGAGCUCGGGAGCUGGACAGGGACCAGACCACCACCAGCACGUCGGAGCAUGUCCUCCACGAGACCAUGGCGCUUCAGACAGUUACCCACCUUCUCAUCUUCUGCCUCAGUCUCUCACUGCUCAUCUCCAUAAAAAAUUCCUUUUGCAAUAAAAAUGACACCAAGUGCCUCUCAGAUUCUUGCCAAAACAAUUCUACAUGCAAGGAUUUUUCAAAAGACGGCAGUUGCCAUUGUUCAGGCACAGCCAUUAAUUUGGACAAAGACUGUGACCAUGAGGAAGACCCUUGCUUCUCCAGUCCCUGUCCAGGAAAUACCACUUGUGUGAGCGUCCCAGGAGAGAGGAGGUUUCUGUGCAGAUGUCCUCCUGGGUACAGUGGGACCACCUGUGACAUGGCCAUUGCUCCCUGUGGCACCAACUCCUGCCAACACGGAGGCUUUUGCCAUCAGGACCCUGUGCACCCUGUGUGCAUCUGCCCUGCUGGAUAUGCCGGAAGAUUCUGUGAGCUGGAGCACGAUGAGUGUGCGUCCAGCCCCUGCCACAACGGUGCUGUGUGCCAGGACGGAAUCAAUGGCUACUCCUGCUUCUGUGUCCCAGGCUAUCAAGGCAGGCACUGCGACUUGGAAGUGGACGAGUGUGUGUCAGACCCCUGCAAGAACGAGGCCACGUGCCUCAACGAGAUAGGACGGUACACUUGCAUCUGUCCCCACGGUUACUCCGGUGUAAACUGUGAAUUGGAAGUUGAUGAAUGUCGAUCCCAGCCCUGCCUCAGUGGUGCAACCUGUCAGGAUGCUGUGGAGGCCCAUUUCUGUGACUGUGCCCCUGGCUUCCUGGGUGCUGGCUGUGAGCUCAGCACUGAUGAGUGUGCCAGUGGGCCGUGUCUCCAUGGAGGGCUGUGCGUGGAUGGAGCCAACAGGUACAGCUGUAACUGCAUGGGUAGUGGAUUCACAGGGACACAUUGUGAGACCUUGAUGCCUCCAUGUUGGUCAAAACCCUGUCACAAUAAUGCUACAUGUGAGGACAGUGCUGACAAUUACAUUUGUCACUGCUGGCCUGGAUACACGGGGGCCCAGUGUGAGACCGACAUCGAUGAAUGCAGUAGUAGCCCCUGCCAGUCUGAUGGGGAAUGCGUGGAGCUGUCUUCAGGGGAAGGGCAUGGGCGUCUUGCCCAGCUGCUCUCUCUAUCCGGCCACCCCGAAGCCUCAGGUUACAUCUGCAUCUGUCCACCUGGACUCACAGGGGUCCACUGUGAAGAGGACGUCGAUGAGUGCUCUUCAAGCCCUUGCCAAAACGGUGGUACCUGUGAGAACUUGCCUGGGACUUACACUUGCCGUUGCCCAUUUGAUAACCAUUCUGGAGCAUUUUACGGAGGAAGGAACUGUUCUGAUUUGCUCCUCAGCUGUACUGAUCACCCAUGUCUAAAUAAUGGAACAUGCGUCCCUCACCUCCGCAAUGGCCAGCAUGGAUUCGGCUGCCUGUGUCCCUCUGGCUAUACUGGGUCACGGUGUGAAACGGUCACCACACUUUCUUUUGAGGGUGAUGGCUUCCUGUGGGUCCCAAGUGGCUCAGUGACAGCCAAGGACUCCGGUUGUACAAUAGCCCUCAGGUUUCAGACUGUCCAGCCAGUGGCACUUCUACUCUUCCGAGGUGACAGGGACGUGUUUGUGGUACUGGAGCUGCUCAGUGGCUACGUCCACUUAUCAGUUCAAGUCAGGGAUCAGCCAAAGGUGGUCCUGUUCAUCUCCCACAGCACCAGCGAUGGGGAGUGGCAUGCGGUGGAGGUGACGUUUGCAGAGGCUGUGACCCUUGCCUUACUUGACGAGUCUUGCCUGGGGACAUGCAUCAUGAGAGCUCCUUCUCCAUUUGGAAGCGAUGGGUCAACAUGUGCUUUACAAAACUCCUUUUUGGGGGGUUUACCAGAGGGAACAGCCCACAGUGGUGUUGCUCUGCUUAACGUUUAUAAUAGACCAUCCAUACCUUCUCUUGUGGGCUGCCUCCAAGAUGUUCAACUUGACUCGAAUCCCAUCACCCUGGAGAACAUCUCGUCCGGCUGGUCAUUAAAUGUCAAGGCAGGCUGCCCGAGAAAGGACUGGUGUGAGAGCCAGCCCUGUCACAACAGAGGACGCUGCCUCAACUUGUGGCUUAGUUACCAGUGUGAUUGCUACCGGCCCUACCGAGGCCGUAGCUGUCACAGAGCGUAUGUGGCAGGCAGAUUUGGCCAAGAUGACUCCACUGGAUAUGCGGCUUUCCAUCUUGACAAGAGCUAUGGAGAGGCCUUCACGCUCUCCAUGUUUGUUCGAACACAUCGUCCAUCGGGCUUGCUUCUAGCUCUGGAAAAUGGCACUUGCCAAUACAUCCGUGUUUGGCUAGAGCAUGGCAGACUAGCAAUGCUAACUCCAGGUUCUCCCAAAUCGUUAGUAAAAUUUGUUCUCAGUGAUGGAAAUGUCCACUUGAUAUCUUUGAAAAUCAAGCCAAAUAGAAUCGAACUGUAUCAGUCAUCACAAAACCUAGGAUUUAUUUCUGCUCCUACGUGGAGACUCCAAAGAGGAGAUGUCCUCUACAUUGGUGGACUGCCUGACAGACAGGAGACUGAAGUUAAUGGUGGAUUCUUCAAAGGCUGUAUUCAAGAUAUAAGGUUAAACAACGAAAAUCUGGAAUUCUUUCCAAAUUCAACGAGCAACGCAGCCCAAGAUGCAGUUCUUGUCAAUGUGACCCAAGGCUGUCCCGGAGACAACCUGUGUGAGCCCAACCCCUGUCACAACGGAGGCAUCUGCUACCCCCUGUGGGACGACUUCUCCUGCUCCUGCCCUGCGAACACAGCCGGGAAAGCUUGCCAGGAGGUUCGCUGGUGUGAACUCAGCCCGUGUCCUCCCCGGGCCCAAUGCCAGGGGCUGCCUCGAGGAUUUGAAUGUAUCGCAAAUGCUGUUUUUAAUGGACAAAGCAGUGAGAUAUUAUUCAGGAGCAAUGGGAAUAUUACCAGAGAACUCACCAAUAUCACAUUUGGUUUCAGAACAAGGGAUGCAAAUGCGAUCAUAUUGCACGCAGAGAAGGAGCCUGAAUUCCUUAAUAUUAGCAUUCGGGAUUCCCAGUUAUUAUUUCAGCUGCAGAGUGGCAACAGUUUUUACAUGCUGAGUCUGACAAGUCUGCAGUCAGUGAAUGAUGGCGCGUGGCACCAAGUGACUCUCUCCAUGACAGACCCACAGGCCCAGGCUUCCAGAUGGCAAAUGGAAGUGGACCAGCAAACACCUCUUGUGACCAGCGCAGUGGCUACUGGGAGUCUCAGCUUCCUGAAGGAUGAUAUAAACAUUUAUGUGGGUGAGCGAGCUAGUGACAACACGCAGGGCCUGCGAGGGUGUCUAAGUACAAUAGAAAUCAGUGGCAUUUAUCUCUCUUACUUUGAAAACGUUCAUGGUUUCAUUAAUAAGCCUCAGGAGGAGCAGUUUCUCAAAAUCUCUAUGCAUCCAGUGGUUACUGGCUGUUUGCAGUUAAACGCCUGCAAUUCCAACCCCUGCUUGCAUGGAGGACAUUGUGAAGACACGUACAGUUCUCAUCACUGCACCUGUCCCGUGGGAUGGUCAGGGGCACACUGUGAACUCGACAUUGAUGAAUGCCUUUCAAACCCCUGUAUCCAUGGCAACUGCUCCGACAGAGUUGCAGGCUAUCGCUGCAGGUGUGAGCCUGGCUACACCGGUGUGAACUGUGAAUCAGAUGUAGACAAUUGCCAGAGCCACCUGUGUGCAAACGGGGCCACCUGCAUCAGUGACACCAGUGGCUAUUCUUGCCGCUGUCCUGGAAAUUUCACAGGAAAAUUCUGCAGAUACACCAGAUUACCCUCAGCAGUCUGUGGGAAUGAGAAGACCAACCUCACGUGCUAUAACGGCGGCAACUGCACAGAGUUCCAGGGUGAAGUAAAAUGUGUGUGCUGGCCAGGUUUCACUGGGGAAUGGUGUGAAAAGGACAUUGAUGAGUGUGCCUCCGAUCCCUGCCUCAAUGGAGGCCAAUGCCACGACUUGCUGAACAAGUUCCAGUGCGUCUGUGAUUUGGCCUUCGCCGGCGCGCGCUGUGAGCUGGACUUGGCAGACGACUUGCUCUCAGAUGUCUUCGCCGCCAUCGGUUCAGUGACUUUAGCCUUGUUGUUGAUCCUCUUCCUGGCAGUGGUGGCCUCUGUCGUUGCCUCCAACAAGAGGGCAACUCAGGGGUCCUACAGCCCCAGCCGUCAGGAAAAGGAUGGCUCUCGCGUGGAGAUGUGGAGCAUGACGGCUCCCCCUGCAAUGGAAAGGCUGAUUUAGGACCAUCCUGUCUCUAGAGGAAGAGAUCCACACACUGCGAAUGGGACACUUGUACCUGAGUGUUUUUCUGACAAACCUGGAGACAUCAGGUUACAACUGGGACCACACUGAAACUGUGGGAAGGACUCCUUUGACCACUGUAUAGAUGUUCAUAGUGGUUCAACUUGACACCAUUGUUUUAUUGUAUUAUGUUAGCCAAUCACGGAACAGUGUUUCUUGUGCCAACAAUUUCAGCCUCAUAAUUAGGAAAAAUACCUUCCUGAGGAUGCGACUUCUGGGAAAAGCUCCAGUGCCUGACAUUUACACUCUGUACUCUUUGCAACUUGGGGACACGUUUUUAGUUUGCCCAUCAGCUGGCAACUGCAUUUUUUUCACACAGAAACUACAGAAAAAAAAAAAAUAGACACAUCUCUCACUCUUCCUGUAGCGAAAGGUUUUAGUUUGUACCUAUGAGGAGAUGCACAUUUUUUGUCCUUCAGUUAUGGAGUCGAGAAAGUUAUGGGAAAGACCUAUGGUUAAAGAGCGACUCACCAUCCACAAAUAAAAAUUGAAAUGUGGUUGUUCCUCUUUCUGAGUAUUUUUUUGCAUUUUGUGACACUACAUGUGACAAAAGUAACCUCUAGGAGCAUUUGAAGAACGUUUUAACUAAAUCACCCCAAGCGCUGUGUUUAAAGUCCUUGUCCUUUGUAAGGUGUUGCUUAAGGUCGAAACACUUUCCGAGGCAGAAAACAGAAGAAAAGGAAACCUCGUGUUCUCAAACCUGAAAGACCAAGCUUUUUCCUUCCGACUGCUUUUUGAUAAGUCAGUGUCAGACAGUGACCUUGUCUAAAGAUGGUUGUCCUGAGACUUCCCUGCUGUGAAGUCUGGAGUGAAUGUACCAACUGGAGAGAGGCUCAGCUCUGCCAGGCUCCCAGCCACCCUCCCUGCUGGAUGCAGCCACAUGGUGACCCCUGUGAAACCAGCAGAGGAACAACCCCAUCAAGCUGCGGAAUCAAAGAGAAAUCAUAAAUCAUUGUUUGACAUCACUAAGGUUUAGGUUGAUUUGUUACCUGGUGGUUGGUGACUGAGACACACCUGUCCACACCAAAAAGGCAAACCAAAGAACACAGCAGGAUGCAGGACUCAUCUGCUUCUAAUUCCUUUGCUUUUGCAAAACUGCUGCUCUGGGAACCAGUGGGCCAUGCAGUAUUCACCUUCAGAGUAAGGUUAAUUAGCCUAAUAUUAAUAAAAGAUGACAAACGCAUGCUGAUUUCUCUCAGAGCGGGAAAUAUGGUGAGAAUCCAUUCACUCCAAGCCCUGGUCUGGGUGGUUGAGGGUCCCCUGUCCUUCCAGCACAGCCAUCUACAGGCUUGGGGGCUGGGGUGUAAAGGGGACAGAGCUGUCCCGCUUCCUGCCCUGGGCGAACCCUGGCCGGGCAGCCAAUGCAAAAGGCACAUCUGGUGUGUGUUUACAAGGAGGGACAGGAAGGCUCCUUCAAGGGGCCUUCUCCUCUCACACGGCUCCUGUAGGCACAGUGAGUGCAAAGGGCAGCAGGAAAUGACAAACGACUGUAACUUAAACCAGCCGUCAAACCUGCCCUAUUUUACUUCCUUAAAUGAUCACUGUUUAACAGGCCUUCAUCUCAGACAGAGGAAAGUGUGGUCCCAGAGUUUGGCCCUGGGUAGCACAAUUAUUAUCAUUAUCAAUCAGUAUUAGCUGCAGUUAUUGAAGAGUAACUGGUAUCGUACCUAGAGGCGGAACUAGAAGGGGUCAGUGUAAUGAACGCUUCCAUUAUUACAAGGACAGUGAGGGAUCCUUUGGGGAGCUCUGGCUAAGGGCCAGGACUAUAUUUAGCUACUCUACAUGCAUCCCGGCUCAUUUAAACCUUAGGACAGCUCUCUGAAAGAGGAACUUUUAUCUUCACUUUAAGAGCCUUUGGAGACAAACAUAGGUUUAAGUCUCUGCUCUGCCCCAUCCAGGUGCCAUGAACUUAGCCUGAAAAACAGGCUCCCACCUCCUACUCAUUGGUCUGCCAAACCAAUGCCAUGGGUAACUGCUUCUCCAACCCCCUUCCCAUCCAUCUUAUGAUGUAUUUGUAAAAUAAGCAGAUUUCGUGCAAAGAAAGGUUACUUCUUCAUGUCGUUCUCAUGUCUCAAAUUGCCCCUGUGGUGGCAGCCCCAGCCGACUGGAGAAAUCACUUCAUCUGCAAGACUGGCAUGAACUGUGUAGACCACCUGUAUGUCCUCAAUAAAACUGUCAGAAAAUAAAUCAAAGGGCGCAGGUCUCUCAGUCCCCCAAACAACUGACGAUAAGAAUGAAAGAAAACAAAAACAAGUUUUCUUUACAGAGAGUACUUUUUUUUACCCAGCCUUUUAGCAUUACUCCUUAAACCUCUUGUGUUAAGGAAUCACAGUCACCUACAAUCAUCACCAGCAAGAAAGACUGAGUUUAAAUCUUUCUCGGUUUAAAUCGUCCUUUUGAUGAUGAUUAACUAGCCAACUUGACCUGGUUUUAUGCUCGACGGGGAUAUGAUUCAAAUCAUGAAACUUUCCUUAAUUCUGGAGUGAAUAUGACCUUUCACAUUUUAACUGGCUUCCAGCAAAAGUGCAACUUUUACUGCUGUGCAUUUCAUUGAAAAGCGAUGUCAAAAAUGCAAGUCUCCCAUUUAAGCCCAUUCUUCUGUAAUUUUGGUGCCCAGGUUUUGCUUUAUGUGGUCCCAGGAACCUGGGAAUGACACCCAUCAAAUAUAUUUGGCAGUACCUGCCUGAGGACAGCCGCUUUAAGAACCAGCCAUGGGGUUGGGUGACAAACUAUCCUUGAAAACUGCUCCCGAAUCCACCUCUCCCAGCUCUAAGAAGCACCUCCUGGAGGUGUUCAUGGUUUGCAGCUCGAGGCUCCAAAACUGAAGUUUAUUCAGGCUGAAAUAAAGUAAACACCAAAUGGAAACAAGUAUGUGUGUUGGUAAAAGUCCCCAAAGCAUAGGUGCUCCUGAACCCUGUUGUGACUCAGCCCUUCAUGUCAUGGAUUUGGAGAUGUCAUAGGUCAACUCAUUCAGUGACACAAUCAACAUCCAAAAGCCUUUUACUGCCGGGGACAGGUAUCCACAGAUACCUUCUAGGUGAGCUUCCCCAGAGGUCAUUCAGAAACCUUAUUUUGCCAGGCCAGCCCUGUUUCCAGAA